rnacentral:rRNA from 1 species
UACGUAGGGACCAAGCGUUGUCCGGAAUUAUUGGGCGUAAAGAGCUCGUAGGCGGCUGUUCAAGUCGAACGUGAAAACUCGGAGCUCAACUCCGAGCCUGCGUUCGAUACUGGACGGCUAGAGUCUGGUAGGGGGAUCUGGAAUUCCUGGUGUGAGCGGUGGAAUGCGCAGAUAUCAGGAGGAACACCGGUGGCGAAGGCGGCUCUCUGGUACGUGACUGACGCUGAGACGCGAAAGCGUGGGGAGCGAACAGG